rnacentral:rRNA from 1 species
CAGCCGCCGCGGGAAUACGUAGGGUGCAAGCGUUAAUCGGAAUUACUGGGCGUAAAGCGUGCGCAGGCGGUUCGUUAAGACAGAUGUGAAAUCCCCGGGCUUAACCUGGGAACUGCAUUUGUGACUGGCGGGCUAGAGUAUGGCAGAGGGGGGUAGAAUUCCACGUGUAGCAGUGAAAUGCGUAGAGAUGUGGAGGAAUACCGAUGGCGAAGGCAGCCCCCUGGGCCAAUACUGACGCUCAUGCACGAAAGCGUGGGGAGCAAACAGGAUUAGAUACCCCGGUAGUCCCUGUCUCUUAUAC